AUACGUAGGGAGCGAGCGUUGUCCGGAAUUACUGGGCGUAAAGGGAGCGCAGGCGGGUGUGCAAGUCAGAUGUGAAAGACCUGGGCUCAACCCAUGGGCUGCAUUUGAAACUGCGUUUCUUGAGUGCAGAAGAGGAAAGCGGAAUUCCUGGUGUAGCGGUGAAAUGCGUAGAUAUGAGGAGGAACACCGGUGGCGAAGGCGGCUUACUGGGCUUAUACUGACGCUGAGGCUCGAAAGCGUGGGGAGCAAACAGGAUUAGAUACCCUGGUAGUCCCCGCUGUAAACGAUGAUUACUAGUUGUGGGGGGACUGCCCCCUUCCGUGCCGCAGUUAACACAAUAAGUAAUCCGCCUGGGGAGUACGGCCGCAAGGUUGAAACUUAAAGGAAUUGACGGGG
rnacentral:rRNA from 1 species